rnacentral:rRNA from 1 species
AGUGAACGCUGGCGGUAGGCCUAACACAUGCAAGUCGAACGGCAGCACAGUAAGAGCUUGCUCUUACGGGUGGCGAGUGGCGGACGGGUGAGGAAUACAUCGGAACCUACUUUUUCGUGGGGGAUAACGUAGGGAAACUUACGCUAAUACCGCAUACGACCUACGGGUGAAAGCAGGGGAUCUUCGGACCUUGCGCGAUUGAAUGAGCCGAUGUCGGAUUAGCUAGUUGGCGGGGUAAAGGCCCACCAAGGCGACGAUCCGUAGCUGGUCUGAGAGGAUGAUCAGCCACACUGGAACUGAGACACGGUCCAGACUCCUACGGGAGGCAGCAGUGGGGAAUAUUGGACAAUGGGCGCAAGCCUGAUCCAGCCAUACCGCGUGGGUGAAGAAGGCCUCCGGGUUGUAAAGCCCUUUUGUUGGGAAAGAAAAGCAGCAGGUUAAUACCCCGCUGUUCUGACGGUACCCAAAGAAUAAGCACCGGCUAACUUCGUG